GAAUUUUUGACAAUGGGGGAAACCCUGAUCUAGCCAUCGCGCGUGUAUGAUGAAGGCCUUCGGGUUGUCCAGUACUUUUGGCAGAGACUAAAAGGUAUCCACUAAUACGGGAUACUGCUGACGGUAUCUGCUGAUUAAGCACCGGCUAACUACGUGCCAUCUCCCGCGGUAAUACGUAGGGUGCAAGCGUUAAUCGGAAUUACUGGGCGUAAAGCGUGUGUAGGCGGUUCGGAAAGAAAGAUGUGAAAUCCCAGGGCUCAACCUUGGAACUGCAUUUUUAACUGCCGAGCUAGAGUAUGUCAGAGGGGGGGAGAAUUCCACGUGUAGCAGUGAAAUGCGUAGAUAUGUGGAGGAAUACCGAUGGCGAAGGCAGCCCCCUGGGAUAAUACUGACGCUCAGACACGAAAGCGUGGGGAGCAAACAGG
rnacentral:rRNA from 1 species